rnacentral:rRNA from 1 species
GACGAACGCUGGCGGCGUGCUUAACACAUGCAAGUCGAACGAUGAAGCCGGAGCUUGCUCUGGUGAAUUAGUGGCGAACGGGUGAGUAACACGUGAGUAACCUGCCCUUGACUCUGGGAUAACUGCGGGAAACUGUAGCUAAUACCGGAUACGACCCUCGGAGGCAUCUCCUGGGGGUGGAAAGAAUUUCGGUCAAGGAUGGACUCGCGGCCUAUCAGCUAGUUGGUGAGGUAAAGGCUCACCAAGGCGACCACGGGUAGCCGGCCUGAGAGGGUAGCCGGCAACACUGGCGCUGAGCCACGUUACAGACGCGAUAGGGAGGUAGAAGUGGGGGAUAUUGCACAAUGGGCCCAAGCUCGACGCAGAAACGCCGAGUGAGGGAUGACGGCCUUCGGGUUGUAAACCUCUUUGAGCAGGGAAGAAGCGAAAGUGACGGUAGCUGCAGAAAAAGCACCGGCUAACUACGUGCCAGCAGCCGCCGUAA